AGACCCGAAACCCGGUGAUCUAGCCAUGGGCAGGUUGAAGGUUGGGUAACACUAACUGGAGGACCGAACCGACUAAUGUUGAAAAAUUAGCGGAUGACCUGUGGCUGGGGGUGAAAGGCCAAUCAAACCGGGAGAUAGCUGGUUCUCCCCGAAAGCUAUUUAGGUAGCGCCUCGUGAAUUCAUCUCCGGGGGUAGAGCACUGUUUCGGCUAGGGGGCCAUCCCGGCUUACCAACCCGAUGCAAACUGCGAAUACCGGAGAAUGUUAUCACGGGAGACACACGGCGGGUGCUAACGUCCGUCGUGAAGAGGGAAACAACCCAGACCGCCAGCUAAGGUCCCAAAGUCAUGGUUAAGUGGGAAACGAUGUGGGAAGGCCCAGACAGCCAGGAUGUUGGCUUAGAAGCAGCCAUCAUUUAAAGAAAGCGUAAUAGCUCACUGGUCGAGUCGGCCUGCGCGGAAGAUGUAACGGGGCUAAACCAUGCACCGAAGCUGCGGCAGCGACGCUUAUGCGUUGUUGGGUAGGGGAGCGUUCUGUAAGCCUGUGAAGGUGGCCUGUGAGGGUUGCUGGAGGUAUCAGAAGUGCGAAUGCUGACAUAAGUAACGAUAAAGCGGGUGAAAAGCCCGCUCGCCGGAAGACCAAGGGUUCCUGUCCAACGUUAAUCGGGGCAGGGUGAGUCGACCCCUAAGGCGAGGCCGAAAGGCGUAGUCGAUGGGAAACAGGUUAAUAUUCCUGUACUUGGUGUUACUGCGAAGGGGGGACGGAGAAGGCUAUGUUGGCCGGGCGACGGUUGUCCCGGUUUAAGCGUGUAGGUGUGUGUUCCAGGUAAAUCCGGUUCACUUUAACACUGAGGCGUGAUGACGAGGCACUACGGUGCUGAAGCAACAAAUGCCCUGCUUCCAGGAAAAGCCUCUAAGCAUCAGGUAACAUCAAAUCGUACCCCAAACCGACACAGGUGGUCAGGUAGAGAAUACCAAGGCGCUUGAGAGAACUCGGGUGAAGGAACUAGGCAAAAUGGUGCCGUAACUUCGGGAGAAGGCACGCUGACACGUAGGUGAAGU
rnacentral:rRNA from 1 species